rnacentral:tRNA from 1 species
GUGAUGAAGUUCAGUGGUGGGGCACUUGCCUUGCAUACAAGAGGCCCUUGGUUCUAUCCCUAGUAUUUCA